GACGAACGCUGGCGGCGUGCUUAACACAUGCAAGUCGAACGGAAAGGCCCUGCUUUUGUGGGGUGCUCGAGUGGCGAACGGGUGAGUAACACGUGAGUAACCUGCCCUUGACUUUGGGAUAACUUCAGGAAACUGGGGCUAAUACCGGAUAGGAGCUCCUGCUGCAUGGUGGGGGUUGGAAAGUUUCGGCGGUUGGGGAUGGACUCGCGGGUUAUCAGCUGGUUGGUGGGGUAGUGGCUUACCAAGGCUUUGACGGGUAGCCUGCCUGAGAGGGUGACCGGCCACAUUGGGACUGAGGUACGGACCAGACUGCUACGGGAGGCAACGGUGGGGAAUAUUGCACAAUGGGCGGAAGCCUGAUGCAGCAACGCCGCGUGCGGGAUGACGGCCUUCGGGUUGUAAACCGCUUUCGCCUGUGACGAAGCGUGAGUGACGGUAAUGGGUAAAGAAGCACCGGCUAACUACGUG
rnacentral:rRNA from 1 species